rnacentral:rRNA from 1 species
CCUACGGGCGGCAGCAGUGAGGAAUAUUGGUCAAUGGGCGUAAGCCUGAACCAGCCAAGUCGCGUGAGGGAUGAAGGUUCUAUGGAUCGUAAACCUCUUUUAUAAGGGAAUAAAGUGUGGGACGUGUCCUGUUUUGUAUGUACCUUAUGAAUAAGGCUCGGCUAACUCCGUGCCAGCAGCCGCGGUAAUACGGAGGAUCCGAGCGUUAUCCGGAUUUAUUGGGUUUAAAGGGUGCGUCGGCGGCCUUUUAAGUCAGCGGUGAAAGUCUGUGGCUCAACCAUAGAAUUGCCGUUGAAACUGGGAGGCUUGAGUAUGUUUGAGGCAGGCGGAAUGCGUGGUGUAGCGGUGAAAUGCUUAGAUAUCACGCAGAACCCCGAUGGCGAAGGCAGCCUGCCAAGCCAUGACUGACGCUGAUGCACGAAAGCGUGGGGAUCAAACAGGAUUAGAUACCCCUGUAGUC